CGAACUCUGGUAUUGGAUUGGUGCUUGCAUCAUGAUUUACAUUUCGAGUGAGUGGCGAACUGGUGAGUAACACGUGGGAAACCUGCCCAGAAGCGGGGGAUAACACCUGGAAACAGAUGCUAAUACCGCAUAACAACUUGGACCGCAUGGUCCGAGCUUGAAAGAUGGCUUCGGCUAUCACUUUUGGAUGGUCCCGCGGCGUAUUAGCUAGAUGGUGGGGUAACGGCUCACCAUGGCAAUGAUACGUAGCCGACCUGAGAGGGUAAUCGGCCACAUUGGGACUGAGACACGGCCCAAACUCCUACGGGAGGCAGCAGUAGGGAAUCUUCCACAAUGGACGAAAGUCUGAUGGAGCAACGCCGCGUGAGUGAAGAAGGGUUUCGGCUCGUAAAACUCUGUUGUUAAAGAAGAACAUAUCUGAGAGUAACUGUUCAGGUAUUGACGGUAUUUAACCAGAAAGCCACGGCUAACUACGUGCCAGCAGCCGCGGUAAUACGUAGGUGGCAAGCGUUGUCCGGAUUUAUUGGGCGUAAAGCGAGCGCAGGCGGUUUUUUAAGUCUGAUGUGAAAGCCUUCGGCUCAACCGAAGAAGUGCAUCGGAAACUGGGAAACUUGAGUGCAGAAGAGGACAGUGGAACUCCAUGUGUAGCGGUGAAAUGCGUAGAUAUAUGGAAGAACACCAGUGGCGAAGGCGGCUGUCUGGUCUGUAACUGACGCUGAGGCUCGAAAGUAUGGGUAGCAAACAGGAUUAGAUACCCUGGUAGUCCAUACCGUAAACGAUGAAUGCUAAGUGUUGGAGGGUUUCCGCCCUUCAGUGCUGCAGCUAACGCAUUAAGCAUUCCGCCUGGGGAGUACGGCCGCAAGGCUGAAACUCAAAGGAAUUGACGGGGGCCCGCACAAGCGGUGGAGCAUGUGGUUUAAUUCGAAGCUACGCGAAGAACCUUACCAGGUCUUGACAUACUAUGCAAAUCUAAGAGAUUAGACGUUCCCUUCGGGGACAUGGAUACAGGUGGUGCAUGGUUGUCGUCAGCUCGUGUCGUGAGAUGUUGGGUUAAGUCCCGCAACGAGCGCAACCCUUAUUAUCAGUUGCCAGCAUUAAGUUGGGCACUCUGGUGAGACUGCCGGUGACAAACCGGAGGAAGGUGGGGAUGACGUCAAAUCAUCAUGCCCCUUAUGACCUGGGCUACACACGUGCUACAAUGGAUGGUACAACGAGUUGCGAACUCGCGAGAGUAAGCUAAUCUCUUAAAGCCAUUCUCAGUUCGGAUUGUAGGCUGCAACUCGCCUACAUGAAGUCGGAA
rnacentral:rRNA from 2 species